rnacentral:rRNA from 1 species
GACGAACGCUGGCGGCGUGCUUAACACAUGCAAGUCGAACGGUAAGGCCCUUCGGGGUACACGAGUGGCGAACGGGUGAGUAACACGUGGGUGAUCUGCCCUGCACUUCGGGAUAAGCCUGGGAAACUGGGUCUAAUACCGGAUAGGACUCCGGACUGCAUGGUCUGGGGUGGAAAGCUUUUGCGGUGUGGGAUGGGCCCGCGGCCUAUCAGCUUGUUGGUGGGGUGGUGGCCUACCAAGGCGACGACGGGUAGCCGGCCUGGGGGGGUGACCGGCCACAAUGGGACUGAGAUACGGCCCAGACUCCUACGGGAGGCAGCAGUGGGGAAUAUUGCACAAUGGGCGCAAGCCUGAUGCAGCGACGCCGCGUGAGGGAUGACGGCCUUCGGGUUGUAAACCUCUUUCAGCAUCGACGAAGCGAAGGUGACGGUAGGAGCAGAAGAAGGACCGGCCAACUACGUGCCAGCCGCCGCCGUAA